rnacentral:sRNA from 1 species
AGAAAAAAAGAAAAUAAUGGGAUGAAUGAUUUUGUUUCUCUAUACUUCCAAUAUUUAUAAAAUAUGAAGAAAUGUAAAUACAACAGAAACAACAUUCAAUUUUGAUAAGAUACUUGAUGGCACAGGCAGAGAAAUCUGUGGGUUAAUAGAACAUUUGCUUCACUCAAUUGCUAUUGUUACUUCUGUAAUUCUUACUACAGUCUUUAGUGUUAUUCAUUCAUGUAUCAGAAUCCUGUUCUAUAUUGCAUACAAUUAUAAUGUCAAGUACAGCAUAAUUUUGUGCCAACAAAAACAUUAGUAAUACAAUUGUUAUCUAUGGAAAUAAUCAACAACACUUGCCAAAGAACAUAACAGAAAUAUUUAAAAGGGAAUUUGACACAAUGGAGAUUUAGUAAUACAAUGUUAGUGUGUUCUCUGGUAGGAUAUUUAAAUUCCCUAGCAAAGUUUAUUGACCGUGUUUGUAGUAUCAUUCCUGAAUUCUCUCCUGUAAAAUUGGCUUCCCUUCUUAUUAAUAAUGUGGUCAGUAAAGCACAAAAUUCCCUUUGCACAAUUGAAAUGUUAAUGCAUUUUACUAAGCCAGUCAUUAUUGUAGCAUGUAAGGAUUAUGAAUGGAUAAGAGAACCAUUAUUUUUUUUCUUAAUGGAGACUGAAUAGUGUUUUCUAGCAUUAUGAAAGAUAACCACCAGGGAAACUGUGCUGGAUAGCACAAGACUGAACUCUCUAUGUCCAGCAAAGACAGCUUAUUGUGUGUAUAUAUCAUGAUCUUAUAUUGAAAUCUCCUGGGAUAAACUGAGGCUCUUUCCUACUUUCUCUUUUGUUCAAUUUUAUCUGUUUUUUUUGUUGACAGACACAGCAUUAGGAAUCAAAAAGUUAUUGUCAAAAGACCAUUGAGUUCAUAUGAUUUGGCUGUUUAUUGCUUUGAAUAAAAUCUUCCAUGAAUGUGAUUUCUAUAAUCAGCCAGACUCCACCUUAUUAAAAUAAUUUCUUAUUUAUGAACAUUUGUUCUUUCUCUCAGUAAUGUACCCUGUAGACUGCCCCCCUUGUUACAUCUGAAAGACAUUGGUUCCUUUGUUACAUUCUUUCCAUUCCCAGUUUCUCUUAGCUUUCCUCCAACACAAAGAUCCAUGAGAGAUGAAGGAAGAGUUUUGAUAGAGAAUUUGCAUUUAUGACUGAGUUACCAAAUUUCUCUUACUCUAUACACAUUUUUCAGUUAUGUGUCUGCUUUUGUUCCCAUCAAUAACAGAUAGUAGCUUCUGUGAUCAUGGCUGAGCAAUAUACUAAAGGGAAUAACAGAAUAUUAUUAGGAUUCCUUACAUUGUUACAUUACUUUUGUAGAAAAAAAUGGUGUUUGGUAUGUGCCUUGAUCCACAAUCUACUUACAUCUCUUUUCUUUGGCAUAUAAACUUCAUCAGGAAUGUGUCUCAUGGACUGGGCAUUGAAUCCAGUCAAAUAAUUUAAAUUACUCUCACCACGUUUGUACAACUAUUGUACCCAUGUACACUGUAGACUGCCCUCCUUGUAAAUUGAAGGAUUUCAGCUAUGUUCAUCUUUCCUUUUCUCCUCAGGAAGUAUGAAUAAAUUUUCCAAUCCAUGAACACUGUCGAGAAGGAGUGAAUGCUCCAGUUAGUCAUCAACUUUAAUUCUUCAUGUUCAAUGAGAUAGGAAGUAUGAAUAAAUUUUCCAAUCCAUGNACACUAUCUACAAGGGUGAAUAUUCCAGUUAGUCACCAACUGAAACAUCUUCAUGUUCAAUGAGAUAGAAUCCAAGGAGGUUGCAGUGCUCUUGUCAGCUCUAGAUGCAGAAUCUUCCCACAGUUAUGUCCAUUAAUACUCUCAGAUCACUGCCAAGAAAUGUACUCGUUUUCAGUAAGGCCAGAAAACUGGCUGUGUACUAUGUGGAGAUGCAUUGUGUGAUAUGAGAACAUUCAGCCCAAAAGGAUUUACAGAGUCAUCUCCAAGAUAAAACCUAUACUAGUUGGGACAUCUAACGUAUGCUCUUCUUCAGAGUCGUUGAAAGAAUGAUGCAGUACCCUGUUUUCUGCCACAUCAGGAUAUACACAAGUCAUCACAAUUGUUAAAGAUCAAUGAGAAUCCUCUGAGGCUGCCUGACUGAAAUAAUGGAUGUUGCACUCCAAUUUAUAUAACUAAUAUGACUUUAUUAGUUGAAAUCUUGAAGCUGUGAAAGUGGCAACACACAGCCAGCAAGGAUUGGGGCAGUAUUUCUGGCAACAGUAAUUGAAGGUAACUCCUUUAGUAAUAAACAUUAACACUUUUAGAUUGUCCCAAAACACAUACUAGCUUUCAUUACAGCUCACCAAUUUCCUCUGUACCAUUGUGCUUAGAGGCUUUCUGAAAAGAAGACAGUUGUAAUCUUUGCUACUGAAUGCAUUAAGUGCUGAGAAUUCAACAUGAAGACCUCCCAUUCCUCUGAAAAUUAGUUUGGUUUUGCAUGUAGGACAAAGCUUUUCCUCCUUAAAGAAC